rnacentral:lncRNA from 1 species
AAACCUUAAAUCCCUAACUCUUAACCACUAACAUCUAACUCAUAAACCCCUAACCCCUAAACCGUAAAUCCCGGCCAACCCUUAAUUAAACCAUAAUCCCUAAUCCAUAAUCCCUAGCUAAAUCCAUAUAUACUACCUAAACCUUAAAAUAUGAACUCCUAAACCGGCCUUAAAUCUUAAAUUUAUCAUAUACCCUAAACUAAUUAAAAACCCUAAACAAUUUUAUUAUUAUCUCUUUUACAAUUACAUAUAUAAUAACAUAUUUAAAAUAUAAAUAAAAAAUAAUCUAAAGCCAAAACCCUAACCCGACCCCUAAAUUCGUAAACCCCAAAUCCCUAACUCUUAACCCCUAACAUCUAACCCCUAAACCCCUAACCCCUAAACCUUAAAUCCCAACCCUUAAUUAAACCAUAAUCCCUAAUCCAUAAUCC